rnacentral:lncRNA from 10 species
UGCCUUUUUUUAGAGACAGUAAGCCCAACACUGUCUAGGAAGCAUAUAUUACAUCCACUUUAAAAAAUUUGUUGUGGUUUUUUUUUUUGAGAUGGAGUCUCACUCUGUCACCCAGGCUGGAGUGCAGUGGCACGAUUUUGGCUCACUGCAACCUGUACCUCCUGGGUUCAAGCAAUCCUCCUGCCUCAGCUUCUUGAGUAGCCAGGACCACAGGUGUGUGCCACCAUGCCGGGCUAACUUUUGUAUUUUUAGUAGAGACGGGGUUUUGCCAUGCUGUCCAGGCUGGUUUCGAACUCCUGGCCUCAAAUGAUCCACCUGCCUCAGACUCCCAAAGUGCUGGGAUUACAGGUGUGAGCCACCGUGCCCGGCCUACAUUCACUGUUAAUUCUCACUUAUCACCCCCUGACAACACCAGAGGAAUCUGAGGUGCAGAGACCUGAGUAACUUGCCCCAGGUUUCACACCUGGAGGAUGGUGGGGUCAGAUCUUAGCUCAAAUCUCAGUGACUUCAAGGCCAGAGUUUUUCCAAGGACGCUAAACAGCCUCUUUGCCAUUGUUAAGUACUGCUGGGCUGUGUCAUUAUUAUUACCUAUUAAUUCAGGGGGACCCCAACGGGAGCUCCGCAGUUUGCCUUUCUGUUUGCGGACACCCACUGGCAGCUGCACUUGGUCCUGCGGUGAUGAGGGUGUAGACUGUGGAGUCGCAUAAGGACUUGACCGCCGGCACAGGGAGCUGGAGCAAACCCAAGACUGGCUGAGACCAUUCAUCAUGCCUGGUUUCUAUAGCCAAGGCUUGGGGAUGAGGCUCAGAAGAUUCCGGGGCUCGGCUCGGUGUGGAGGCUUAUCUGCAACCCAUCCAGCCUGCUCAGCCUUUAAGAAGAAUGCCUGGAAAUCCGGGUCCUACCAGCCUCCCCUCCAUCAGAUUAUGCACGCUGCAAGGAUGACUUUCUUUUUUUUUUUUUUUUUUUUGCUUCAGUAUUUCAGUAGACUCCUUUGAGGGAGAUCAGAAAAUGCUACAUGGCUUUAUGUAUUCAAGUUUAUUCCGUUUCAUUUGCUUAUCACGGAUAUCCUAUUCAAGGUGAUGGAAGCUGGAUACACAGCAUUUUUUUUUCCAGCUCAGCUGCGAUAAAACAGUGGCACACUCACCAUCUCCAUGCCAGGCCAGGACCUAGAAAUGCAGAGAGAAGGGAGAUAGCAUUUCGUGAGUGUCCUCUGGGUGCCAGUCAUUGAGUCUCUCCUUUCAGUUAUCCAUCACAACAACCACAUAAAGAGGACACUUUUAUCCCCAUUGUGUAAGUGGUGAACUCGCAGCUAAACAGAGAGCAAGUGGCUGAACCAGGAUUUGAACCCAGCUCUGCCUGGAGCACAGCUGGGCUCCAUCUGCUACUACACUGCACCCCACUCCCUAAAGGGCACAGAGGCCUCUUUGCCCGUCUCUUCCUCCCCUGCUCCUCCUCACAUAUUUAUCCAGAUGAAAUCAAGUUCAAAUGAUGAUCAAAGUCACAUGAGGGGCCAGGUGUGGUGACUCACGCCUGUAAUCCCAGCACUUUGGAAAGCCGAGGUAGGUGGCUUACUUGAGGUCAGGAGUUCAAGACCAGCUUGGCCAACAUGGUGAAACCCCCUAUCUACUACAAAUACAAAAAAGUUAACCAGGUAUGGUUAGGUGAGGGGGAGGGAGGCGCCUGUAAUCCCAGCUACUCAGGAGGCUGAGGCAGGAGAAUCACUUGAACCCAGGAGGUGGAGGUUGCAGUGAGCCGAGAUCACACCACUGCACUCCAGCCUGGGCAACAGAGCGGGACUCCAUCUAAAAAUAAUAAUAAUAAUAAUAAAAUUCACAUGAGGGUGGAGAGGUUAGGAAACAGCUGUGCUUUUUAAGCUGUUGGCAGUGGGUCUGGAGUUUGGGGUUUGGAGAAGGCUCCCCAUUUCCUGGGCAGAUAGGAGUGAGCUGGGCUGAUGGCAGGCAGGUUCUAGAAGCUACCAGCCUUGGGAGCCCACCCUUCUCUUCCUCCCUCCUGGCUAUUACCCCCAGCACCUGCCCUAAUGCUGGCCAGAGUGGAGGGCGGAGGGCCAGCCCCUGACCCAGGUACCCAGUGGCCCCUCUGAGAUGCCUCUGGCCUCUGGCUGCUACCCUCUCCUGGGCAUUUUCCAUUUACUGUGAUGGCAGAAAAACCCAGUACCCUUAAACAGUAAACAACACAGUGAACUGUGAGUGAAGUCCGUGUGGGCUUAGCCAGACCUGUGUGUUUGCAAACCGGAUCCCAGUAUGGACUGUGCCCUGCAGGCGGCCUCUCUUGCUAGAAUCUGUUCUGGAACUAGCCCGGUUGAUGAGCAUGUUGAUAUUAACGGCCUGGCUUGGCCAAAGCUUCCGGCCCAGCACGCUUUAGCAUCAGCUGGUUAUUCUGAGAACAUUCUUUUCAAAACACUCUACAGGACAAACAGGCCGAGAGGUUCCUUUGUCCACAGCUGGCCUCUGAAACUGAGCAGACUCUCAAAGGGUUGAGAAGAACCCCGAGGAGGCUAUCGUCUGCACUCAGAGGCUGAAACGUUUGAAAACAGGUGCGGGAGGGGGCGGGGAGGAUGGUCAGUGACAGCACAUUCUUCAGCAAACAUGUGUCAUUUGUGCUUUUACCAGAGCGGAGCUUUUAAUUCCUAAAAUAUAACAGCCUGGUGCAGGGGCUGGAAGAAGAGGGCGCGUUUUAUGUGCAACUCUGCUAAGGGCUUGGUUGCUGAAUGAAAGGUUUGGUUCCAUGGAGGUUCAGGUACCUUCGCCUUCAGAACCACACCUUCCUUUUCAUCUCCAGCCUCCCUGGGCUCUCACCUGGCUGCUAGGGGGUCGGGGGUGGGUUGGUCUCAGCCCUCCUGGAGCUCUGCUUGCUACUGGGUGGGAAGGCUUGCUCUAUACUGCAGACAUCUUUCUGGAUUGAGGCUAUCAAUUGACUCCCUGCCCUCUGCCUCCUAUGUCCGUGAUUCCUGCUUGUCACAGAAGAGCUGCUGGGUCUUCGUUGCUUUUAUCUCCAAAGCCUUUUGAUGAGGUAGAAAGGAAAGGUCAUCAGAUUCAGGCUGACCUGCGUUUCCACUUCUGCGUUGUCAUUUGCAGCUGUGUGGCCUAGGACUAGUGGCUGAACCUCUCUGGGCCCCAGUAAGACGGGAAACCAAACACUGGCCUCAUUGCGUUGGUUAUCAUGCAGAGUCAGUAAGCCCAGGGAAAACAUUCACACAAAAAUGCUAAUAGCUGAUGGUUACUGAGCUCUUUGUGUGUAUCAUGCUCUAUUCGACGUGCUUGGCCAUACAUUAACUUAUUUGAUUUUUUCCAAAAUACUUUGAGAUAGAUACUGUUAUCGACCUCAUUUUACCAAAAGGUAACGAAGGCAUGGAGAAGGUAAAUUGCUUGCCAAGCGUUGCCUGAUUUUAAACCUCUGCGAUCUGUAUACAGAACCUGUGCUUAUAAUUUUGAUUUAAAUACUUACUAAAUAAACAAUAACUUUUAUUAUGUUGCUCGUUAAUACUCCCUGACAACUAAGUUGAAGCUACUGCUUAUCCUCAACUGCCAACAACCACUGAUGUCACUGGACUCCAGCACCCUUCGUAAUACAGACCCAUUAAUUUAUCUAAUCCAGAAAUACUGUUGUUGUUUUUUUUCCCCUUUUAGCAGAGCCCUCCCUAUUGGUUCAUAUUGUCUCCUUGGAACCUAUGUGGGUCUUCUUGGGGAUGAAGACAUUAUUGAAAUUUUUGCUGGUUGGGCACGGUGGCUCACGCCUGUAAUCCCAACACUUUGGGAGGCCGAGGCGGGUGGAUCACCUGAGGUCAGGAGUUCGAGACCAGCCUCGAAUUAUUAUAAAAU